rnacentral:rRNA from 1 species
ACAUGCUUACAACAUAGCGUUAAUGCAUCGGAUCCCAUUAGAACUUUGUAGUUAAGCACACUCAAACUAGAGUAGUACUGGGAUGGGUGACCACCUAGAAAGUCCUGGUAUUUUACAUGCC